rnacentral:rRNA from 1 species
AUUGAACGCUGGCGGCAGGCCUAACACAUGCAAGUCGAGCGCGCGGCGGGCAGGUGAGUAAUGUCUGUGAAACUGCCUGAUGGGGGGGGAUAACUACUGGAAACGGUGUCUAAUACCGCAUACCAUCAGAUGUGCCCCGAUGGGGUUAGCUAGUGGGUGGGGUAACGGCUCACCUAGGCGACGAUCCCUAGCUGGUCUGAGAGGAUGACCAGCCACACUGGAACUGAGACACGGUCCAGACUCCUACGGGAGGCAGCAGUGGGGAAUAUUGCACAAUGGGCGCAAGCCUGAUGCAGCCAUGCCGCGUGUGUGAAGAAGGCCUUCGGGUUGUAAAGCACUUUCAGCGGGGAGGCGUUACCCGCAGAAGAAGCACCGGCUAACUCCGUGCCAGCAGCCGCGGUAAUAC